rnacentral:lncRNA from 1 species
ACUCCAAAUUAAUAUAGUGUUUAUAGCCACUUACAUAAUAAUGAGGGUGUUGCUAUGCUUUCCUCUGUACAAGCUGGUGGUGUAUCAAUUCGUUCUUCCUUAACUUUGGGACUGUCACAGGGUUCCUGCAAUUCGUUUUUGACAAUGUUCAACAUAAUAUUCAAGGGGUUUUCAACUGGUGUCUUGCUGGGAGAUGGUGUACAAUCAAAUGAAGAUGUCUACAAAAUGAAAGGCCCUAUGAGUACUGAUGAAAGUUCAAAAUUCUCACAUUAAAUAACAUUUAGUCUUGUAAGACCCUUGUAUGAACAAGAGAACACACAUACAACCAAAUGCAAAUGAAACACCUGCCUCCCAACAAAAUGUGCCAUAAAGACAACCAGAAAUAAAAUAUAUAUUGCACGUUCAA